rnacentral:rRNA from 1 species
AUUGAACGCUGGCGGCAGGCCUAACACAUGCAAGUCGAGCGGUUGAAGGGAGCUUGCUCCCUGAUUCAGCGGCGGACGGGUGAGUAAUGCCUAGGAAUCUGCCUAUUAGUGGGGGACAACGUUUCGAAAGGAACGCUAAUACCGCAUACGUCCUACGGGAGAAAGCAGGGGACCUUCGGGCCUUGCGCUAAUAGAUGAGCCUAGGUCGGAUUAGCUAGUUGGUGAGGUAAUGGCUCACCAAGGCGACGAUCCGUAACUGGUCUGAGAGGAUGAUCAGUCACACUGGAACUGAGACACGGUCCAGACUCCUACAGGAGGCAGCAGUGGGGAAUAUUGGAGAAUGGGCGAAAGCCUGAUCCAGCCAUGCCGCGUGUGUGAAGAAGGUCUUCGGAUUGUAAAGCACUUUAAGUUGGGAGGAAGGGUUGUAGAUUAAUACUCUGCAAUUUUGACGUUACCGACAGAAUAAGCACCGGCUAACUCUGUGCCAGCAGCCGCGGUAACAC